GUCUCCAUAGCUCAGUGGUUUAGAGCGGCCGCCUGCAGUGAGCUGUACAGCGGCAGGUCACGUGUUCAAAUCACGUUGGGGACU
rnacentral:tRNA from 3 species